GUGAGGACGCAGCCGGCCAGCGUUGAGCCCGUGGGACAGCCUUCUCCCUCCCACCGGCGGACGAAAGCAAAGGGAGCCAGCUCUCCUCCAGACAGACGCAUCCACCUCCUCCUCCACGGGUCAUGGACGGCGUGGCGUCGCAGGACGUCGGCGUGGAGGAGGCUGACGACACGUUCCGCGCCCUCGCCUACGACACGGCGUUGAGCACGCUGGUGGCCGUAGCCGUGUACGUGGCGCUCAAAGCCGGCCUGGACGGCGUCCGGCGGUGGCGCGCCCGCAUCGCGGUGCUCGUGGUGGGCUCGGGUCCCGUGGGGCUGACGGCCGCCCUGGUCGCUGUCCGCUCGGGUAAGGUGCUGAAGCUGACCGUGCUGGACGAGCGCAACCGGAGCGCGCUGCUCUGCCGGCCGCAGCAGAUCGCCCUGGACCCACGCAGCGUGGACUUUCUGCUUGGACUCGGCGUGGACUUUGACAACAUGGAGGGAUGCUGGAACGACGAACACUUCUUCACCAGGAUGGGCGUGUUCCAGGAGUACCUGCUCAGCAUCCUGGAGCAGAAGAAGCAGGAGGUGGACGUCAGGGUGGAGCUCGGUACCAAGUUCACAGAGGAUUACCUGCGGCGCAUCCCGGCUGGCGAGUGGCCACGAGUGAUCGUGGUGGCCGACGGCUCGUGUGGCGACUCCUGCUCCGUGCUGGGCCUCAGCUCCGACUACGCCAUAGAGUCGUGCCACGCCUACGGAGCCAACGCCUGCAUCGAGAGGCUGGACCAAAGACAGGUGCCCACCCCGGAGAUCCGCGCCCACUGUCUCUACUUCGACCUGUCAGCGUAUGGGGUGGAAGCCCUGAGGGAGCACCGCAACCCCUCGGCCAAGCCGGGAUUCCACGUGAAGAUCUACGGCACCUUCCGGAACCGCUACAUGGCCCUCGCCUGUCCCGCCUCCGACGCCAAGAUGGUCCGCUUCCUCAGACACACCGCCAAUUCCUCGAUUAUGAAGAACAUCUUCCAUCAGUCCUUCAACGCGUACAAAACGGAUAUUGAGCCGCGGCUGAACGACGUGACGCUCUACCACAUGCAGUGCAGCCGCCGGCUCUUCGAGAUCCAGCUAUCGCACAGACGCGUCAGUGCCGCCUACAUCGAGGGGGACAACGUCGCUGUCACCGUGGAGGGAGAGGCGGCCCGCGUUCUUAACUUUGACACGGGUUGCGGGGUGAAUCUGGGCCUGCGAGGCCUGGAGUCCUUGGGCACAUUCAUCUACCGCACGGCCACGGCCGUGGAUCAGCAUGACGUCCUGGAGGCCCUCACGGCCAAGAUGCAGCACUCCAGACAAGUGGCCCGCGCCUUCAAGCAUACGGGCCUGACUGAGUCCAUGUAUGCCUGACAACGGGAUGCUCGCAUGGACAGUGCACACUAUGUCCUCCUAGCGGUCACAGAGAGAAGCCGCUACCAGCUUGCUCCUCGGAAAGAACAUAUUCCCUGUCGUUGGCGGGCACCCGUCAGAGGGGGCGGGUGGCUCUCAUCACGCGCCGCCACUUGCCCGGCGCUGGCAUUGAUCUGGCGUGGAGGGAGGAGAGAUCUGACAGGCCUGCCACAAAAAUCAGAGCCCUCUCAAAGCCCGGCCGCAUAGGACACACGCACACACAAACACAUUCCCAAAGUCAAAAAGACCAGUCAGUCAGUCAGCGGGGUAUGCACGCAGCUCGGGCUUGUCAGCACGCAUCGGCCGGACCAGGAAGGCCCAAUGUGGAAGGAAGAGAAUGGCAAGUGAAGGCAGAUGUUAGGGGAGAGACAGAACAUUUUGUUGCAUUAUGUAAAAAAAAAAAAAAAAAAAAAAGUCAUACUAAUUGUAUUUGCGUUUUAUAAUAUGCCUGCACACAUUUUCAAUGGGAGACGGGUCUAGACUGCUGGCAGGCCAGUCUAAUACUCGCACUCUUUUAAUACAAAGCCAUGCCGUUGUAACACGUGCAGAAUGUGGCUUGGAAUUGUCUUGUUGACGUCUCUGAAAAAGAUGUUACUUGGAUGGCAGCAUAUGUUCCUUUUCUUCUUUGUUCUGUAGGACACGACAUCCAUGAUUUCCAAAAACAAUUUGUAAUGUGGACUUGUCAGACCACAGCACACUUUUCCGUUUUGCGUCAGUCCAUGUCAGAUGAGCUCGGGGCCAGAGAAGCCUACGCGGCGUUUCUGGGUGUUGUUGAUAUAUGGCUUUGGCUUUGCAGAGUAGAGUUUUAACUUUCAUUUCUAGCUGUAGCACCAAAAUGUGUUAACUGACAAUGGUUUUCUGAAGUGUUCCUGAGCCCACAUGGCAAUAUCCUUUACACAAUGAUGCCAGUUUUUAAUGCAGUGCCGACUGAAGGAUCGAAGGUCACAGGCAUUUAAUACUUUUUUUUUUCGUCUUUGCCGCUUACAUGUAGAGAUUUCUCGAGAGUCUCUGAAUCUUUUGAUGAUAAUAUGGACCCUAGAUGAUAGAAUACUGAAUUUUCCAAAUAGUUUUUUUUCCCCAGCAUUUUUGGAAUGUGUUGCAGGCAUCAAAUUCAAAAUGAGAGAAUAUCUGGAAAAGAAAAACCUAUAACCUUCAUCAGUUUGAACAUGAAGUAUCUUGUCUUUGUAGAUGUAUUCAAUCGAAUAUGUUGGUUGCAAAUCAUUGUAUUGUGUUUUUAUUUACGUUUUACCGAAUGAACCAACUUCAUUUUGUAGAACAUUUGCGUACAUAUUUGUCAUUGUUUAAAAGAGAAUGUUUAAACAAGCAUUCUAAGAAUUUAAUGGCAUUUUCUAUGAAAUGUAAUGCUAAUGAGUAUAAAUUUAUCAUUUUAUGGCUAACUUGAAAAAGCAGAUGGUAGUCAUUGCUUAAAAUACUAUGUUUAAAAGAGUGAUGCCUUGACUUACAAGUGGCCCAACUUCAAAAUGUUUCAAGUUACGAGCCGUCGCUUGCUUGACUUUUUGAUUUUUGCGAGUCAAAAUUUGAACUGAAAACACUUGCAAGGUGCUGCUGUAGGCCACAACUCACACCCAGACGCUCGCACCACUAUAAACAGCGAACCCGACUCCAGCUACUAACAUCAUAAACUAGGUCACGCUCCUUAAAGGCAUACAUCCAACAUGCAAAUACUAAAGUAUGUACAGCAAUUGCACGUUAUGAAACCAGUUGACUGUAAUCCUUUGUUUAUCGCGGGGGUUACAGUCCAGGCCACCCCCGCAAUAGACGAAAUCUGCGAAGUAGCGAUCGGGUGUUUAUUUGAUUAUUUACCGAGCUUUUAAAGUUUCAUGUAUAUUCGUCAUCAACCAAUAGACAAUACAGUACAUGCAUGUGAGGUGCUAGUAUUAUUUUUCGCCACUUGGGGUCAUUGUCUACUCAUUCUUCAUCAUGGUAAUUAUGACUGUGAAUAUGUGUAACCCUUAAAAAAUAAUAAAA